AUGUCACUUGUAACUGCACUAAUGAUUAGAGAUAUCCUGUUUGUGUUUCUCAUGAUAUGGUCCAGCCUCUACAUGGUGAGCCUCCUGUUCAGACACAAUAGGAAAACAUGGCAUGUCCACAGUUUCAGUGUCUCUCUCCAUGCAUCUUCUGAAAAGAGAGCCACCCACAGCAUCCUUCUGCUUGUGGGUUUCUUUGUGGUU
rnacentral:lncRNA from 1 species